rnacentral:lncRNA from 1 species
AUGCAAUAUAACAGAGAAGGCCACCCCUCAGGACAAGUAAGUCAGGCACUCCACAGCAAAGGGAACAGCAAAUCCCAUUUACACAGGCUGCCCUGCCCUCUCCUUCAAUACAGUCAGCUAAAGUAUUUGAGCUCUUCUCCACGCUCGCCUUCAAGCCUGAAGAAAGAGGUUUUUAGUGACUCAUCACAGUGUGUGGACCGAUACCGUACAAUAGCUAAGUGGUGCACAAACACGGAACAAAAGGAUGCCAUCAAAACUAAAGAGCUCAGAACUUUCUUCUGUGUUAAAGAUCCCCUCCCACUCCUCCCAGUUCUUCUGCUUCAGAUUAAACUUUUUCAGGAUGUUGCGACGCCAAAACAUGCAUUCUAACAGGAAAUCAGCAUCAAAGCUCUAGUCAUGGCAAGACAGCACCUGCACAGCUCCACGCUCACCUUUACAGAAACUGAAGCACAAAUUCACGCCAAAAGAACUGUGGAGAUGUACACCGAGUCGCGGACACCCCACCCACUCCACACAGAGUAAGCAAUGACCUAAGGACGGCAGAGUUUAGUACGCACAGCCCCUCGGUCUGACACAGCAUCAGGAUACAUGGGUACACAACUUGCUUCCUCCGCCACCGACUCCAUCUGAUUGCCAUCAGAUUCAAAACUUUUGAGCAAGAAGCAGAAAUUUAUGGCAAUUCUUAUUCCACAUUCAAAAAUGGCACAGACAAGUAUUCCCAUUUUCCCUUUUACAAACCUGUGGGCUGUUUAUAUUAAUUGAACCUGUUUUUCUUGGUAAAUAAUAGAAAAAUAUGCAUCCCCUUUGACAAUCUUUUUAACCACACUUUAAAAUGCUUGAGAUAAAGACUGAUACCUUCUGAACCAGUUAAUGACUUCAAAAUAUUUUUUCUUUCCAAAAAAAGAAUUUUGUCUAGGGUCAGUUUUCCUAUCAAGCAACAAGGUAAUCUUUAGGAUGGCUUAAAACAUUGUGAUCUACUGGAGCCUUGGAUCAGAUAUCUUGAGUAUUCUACUACAAGAUACCUAUCUCUGAGCCUCAGUUUCUCUUGUUGUAAAAGGGUACAACGGUUCUCAGUCUUGAAAAACAACUCUAAGGUCUGUGGAUGAAGUAAACCAUACGAUAAUUGCCAUCAGUCACAGCAGAAUCCAAGAACCUAACAGCAAAAUGUGGCUCAUCUCCCAGAUUAGUAUUUGGAUAACAAGCAUAGAAGCAAAUAAUCCAACAAAAUAAACCUGUUUUCACAGGAAUCA